CAGGAUCAGACAUAUUCUGUCAUCCUGGGACAGGGUUCAGGGUAUCAUGAACCAAGUGCCAGACAAGUCCCAGUCUUCCCCUAAACACAAAGAUGAGAAGAAGAGCAGUAAGUCUCCGGAAAAGCCAGAGAAGAAUCCUCUGGAAAAACAUGGCAGCCACAAGAGUCUUCAGCGGGAAGGGGAAGUUGCAGAAGGCUCAGUCAGAAGCCAGGAUGCCGGAGUGCCCUGCUUGGACUUCCACGUCACGCGUCGUGAAAAGGUGUUUAGGAGGAUCCUGAAGAGCAAGAAGCUGCCACCACCAAAGCAGAUUCUGGACUCUCUGGGACUGGGUCCCUUAGGGCCUCCCAUUCCCCCUGGCUCUCUUUUCUCUGUGGUCCCCUACCCAGAGGAGGACAGAGUCCCCACAGCAUCACAAGACCUCAGACACUUCAUCCUUGUUGAACCUGAGGGUGCUGCUGCAGAAGAUGAUGUGGCCCCAGAGGCAGAGGCACAGGACCACUUGAAGGAGGGGAAAGCCACGAGCAGACACAAGUCUAGCAAGGAAAAGCCAAACUCCCCCCAGAGCCCGAAAAGUCUCCGUGAUCACUCCCCAGAAACACCCCGAAGUUCACCUGAGCCAAUGAAAAGCCAACUGCAGAGUGACUCAACCCUUGAGAGA